rnacentral:rRNA from 1 species
AGUAAUGUCUGGGAAACUGCCUGAUGGAGGGGGAUAACUGCUGGAAACGGUAGCUAAUACCGCAUAACGUCGCAAGACCAAAGUGGGGGACCUUCGGGCCUCAUGCCAUAAGAUGUGCCCAGAUGGGAUUAGCUAGUAGGUGGGGUAACGGCUCACCUAGGCGACGAUCCCUAGCUGGUCUGAGAGGAUGACCAGCCACACUGGAACUGAGACACGGUCCAG